GGAGGGCGCAAGCGUUGUUCGGAAUCAUUGGGCGUAAAGCGCGUGUAGGUGGCUUGGAAAGUUGGGUGUGAAAGCCCGGGGCCCAACCCCGGAAUUGCACUCAAAACUUCCUCGCUAGAGUCUCGGAGAGGAAAGCGGAAUUCCCGGUGUAGAGGUGAAAUUCGUAGAUAUCGGGAGGAACACCAGUGGCGAAGGCGGCUUUCUGGACGAUGACUGACACUGAGACGCGAAAGCGUGGGGAGCAAACAGGAUUAGAUACCCUGGUAGUCCACGCCGUAAACGUUGUGUGCUAGGUGUCGCGGGUAUUGACCCCCCUGCGGUGCCGUCGUUAACGCAUUUAGCACACCGCCUGGGGAGUACGGCCGCAAGGCUA
rnacentral:rRNA from 1 species